CGAGUGCUCCAAGCGUUAUCCGGAAUCAUUGGGCGUAAAGGGUGUGUAGGCGGUUGUGUUAGUCUUUUGUUAAAUUCUUCGGCUUAACCGGGGACAUGCGAAGGAAACGGCACAACUAGAGGAUGCGAGAGGUGAAUGGAACUCAUGGAGUAGGGGUGAAAUCCGUUGAUAUCAUGGGGAACACCAAAAGCGAAGGCAAUUCACUGGCGCACUCCUGACGCUGAGACACGAAAGCGUAGGUAGCGAAUGGGAUUAGAUACCCCAGUAGUCUACGCCCUAAACGAUGAUCGCUGGUUUUUCGGAGUAUCGACCCUCUGAGAGACGAAGCUAACGCGUUAAGCGAUCCGCCUGGGUAGUACGGCCGCAAGGCUA
rnacentral:rRNA from 1 species